rnacentral:rRNA from 1 species
AGUUUAAUAUCGACAGCCAAUAUAUCGUAAAAUUUAAUGGUAAUAAUAAACAAAACAUUGUUAGAUUUAGUAAAGGUGAUUGAGGGUUAAUAUUUUGCAUAGAAACAGUACUGUGAAGGAAAUUACAUAACUAAAAACUAGAAAUGCUUAAAACUUGUACCUUUUGCAUCAUGGCUUAACUAGAUUAAAUCCUAAAUUGGAAAUCUCGAAAUCUGAUGAGCUAUCCUUACUCUGUUUUAUAGAUCUUAUGAAUAAGUUGGUUGUGGCAAAAACCUCUUAAGAAUUAAGGAUAGAUAUGAAAUUUUAUUCGCAUUAGAUGAUAGCUAGUUCUUUUUUAAAGAUAUAUUAGUAUCUUGAGCUAUACACUUAACAUUACGAGUUAGCAAUCGUAAUUGUUUAUGUUAGCUUAUUUAAGCUUUCGAGGAUAAGCUCGAAGGCAUAUAGAAGUUUGCAUCUAAUUUUUUAAAAAAUAUAGGUUUAGUAAUGGCCACUGAAAGAGGAAUUUGUUAUAAUUCAUUUUUAACUAAAAAUAUGAUUAAUUUGCUUUAAUAAUCAUAAAAAAGAAACUUUGAUAACUUAAUAGUAAAAUGAUUUUAUGUUAAGAUGAGUAUUAAGAUUAUUUAUUAAAAUCAGAUUAAUAGAAUAAAAUUUAGACUUAUAUGAGAUGUUUUUAGGUAAAAUCACAAAAAGGAACUCGGCAAAAACAUAUUCUGCCUGUUUAUCAAAAACAUGGCUUCGUGCUGAUCUCAAAAUACGAAGUCGGACCUGCCCAGUGAGUUUUAAACGGCCGCGGUACUCUGACCGUGCAAAGGUAGCAUAAUCAUUUGCCUUAUAAUUGAAGGCUGGAAUGAAUGGUUUGACAAGAAUAUAUCUGUCUCUUUGUGACUUCCUAGAAUUUUAUUUUUGGAUGAAAAAGUCCAGAUAUCAUUAAAAGACAAGAAGACCCUAUCGAGCUUUAGAAAAAUUAGUGGACUUGAUAAUAAAGCAAUAGUAAUAAAAGAAAAGCCAUUAAGUAUACUUUGGUUGGGGCAACCGAGGAGCAAAUAAAGCCUCCUUUAAAUUUUAAGUCACACCCGUGUUGAUCCAAACAUUUUGAUUAAAGGAAUUAGUUACCGUAGGGAUAACAGCAUUAUCUUUUUUAAGAGCCCAUAUCGAAAAAAAGGUUUGUGACCUCGAUGUUGGACCAGAAUAUCCUAAAGAUGCAGAAGUCUUUAAGGGUUGGUCUGUUCGACCAUUAAAAUUCUACGUGAUCUGAGUUCAGACCGGCGUGAGCCAGGUCAGUUUCUAUCUUUAUAUUUUUUGGUUGCGCUUAGUACGAAAGGACCAGCGUAACGUAUAAUAUAUUUCGGGUAGAUUAAAUAUAAUUUAACUUUGAA